GGGGAUGUGGCUCAGUGGUAAAGCACUUGCCUAGCACGUGUGAGGGCCUGGGUUCCAUCCCCAGCAUCACAA
rnacentral:tRNA from 1 species